UGCAGAGAUGUGUCAACAAUUCAGGAUUGUAGUGUUUUAAGCAUUGCAGUUGCAGUCUUCCCUACCUGCACAAUACCACUUAAGGCCUGAGACCAUUUAAGGUGUAGCUAUAUAAAGGAUCAAGUGCUGCUUGUUUGUAAAGUAGUCUGAACAGACACCACAUGGUACAUACCAGAUGUAAUUUCUACGUGAAGCAGCCAGGUUUGGCUUAGUCAUUCCCUGGGUUUGCUAAUGCAAAAGGUGAUCAGACAGGACAAACCCCAGCUGCAUUACUGAGCACUUGUAGCCCAUCAUGGGUUCCGUGUUCCCUGCUGCAGACCACUGAGGGAGAGGAAACCACACUGGCAGAGGUGCCUGAUGAUGUGGAAAAUCAUUUGCUGUCCCCAGAAAGAGGGUCACAUGCUGAUAAGCAGGCCCUGGAGGAUAUGAAAACAGACCUACUCCUCCCCUCUCCCACAGGGACCUCUCGUGGUGGCUCCAGGCCCCUCUUAGAUUAUGCCAUGAUGAGACGCAGCUGAGACCCCAUUAACAUCAUCUCUGGGGCCAGCGAGUGCCAGAGACAGAUGAGCAACUCUAAAUGGGAUCAGGUUCCUGAGCCUCUGAUUGAAUCUGCAUCCACCUCUCAAACACAGCGAGGGCUUGCACAACUGAACAACUGAAAGUACAAUGUUACAGUUAGGAACAAGAAAUACAUGUGAUAGGCAUGAAGGUACAGAGACCAGACGUCAUUAAGGUACCCCUCCUAGCUGCUAAAGAAAACAUGCAGAGUAUUUAACCUUGGGUGUGAUUGUGAUGAACUGAACUGAGAAGAUUCAUGGAUUUUAUCCUCUUUAACCAAACUGCAUUAUUGAAGGAUUAAUAAAACACAGAAAAUGCACAAUAUGACCAGUGCUGGACCCUGGUGGAGGCUGUAUGAUGCCUUCCUCACACAGGGCUUACUUCCAGUUCUC